CCUACGGGCGGCUGCAGUGGGGACUAUUGGACAAUGGGGGGAACCCUGAUCCAGCCAUGCCGCGUGUGUGAAGAAGGCCCUCGGGUUGUAAAGCACUUUCAGUGAGGAAGAACGCCUGGUGGUUAAUACCCAUCAGGAAAGACAUCACUCACAGAAGAAGCACCGGCUAACUCCGUGCCAGCAGCCGCGGUAAUACGGAGGGUGCGAGCGUUAAUCGGAAUUACUGGGCGUAAAGCGCGCGUAGGUGGCUUGAUAAGCCGGUUGUGAAAGCCCCGGGCUCAACCUGGGAACGGCAUCCGGAACUGUCAAGCUAGAGUGCAGGAGAGGAAGGUAGAAUUCCCGGUGUAGCGGUGAAAUGCGUAGAGAUCGGGAGGAAUACCAGUGGCGAAGGCGGCCUUCUGGACUGACACUGACACUGAGGUGCGAAAGCGUGGGUAGCAAACAGGAUUAGAUACCCCAGUAGUC
rnacentral:rRNA from 1 species